UUCUGUCCUAUCCUUAGGUGCUCCAAGUCAGAAGGAUGAAAAUUCCAAACAGGUGAAUCCAACUUCUCCUGUAUAUGAAAACACACUCCUUUCUGAACAGGCCAUGCCGAAGAGUUCUUCAGAGAUCAACAACACGUACGAGGAGUUGAGACACGGAAACCAGGCUGUGUAUGAUCAGCUGAAAUGGUCACCGAAGGGACCCUCCAACUCGAGUGGAAGUCGACACACCAGUCCAGUGGCCCUUCCGCGCUUUGACUCUAUCAUAGAAUCAUAGAGUUGGAAGGAGCCAAAGAGGCCUUCCAGUCCGACCCCUUGCUCAAUGCAGGAUCGACCUGAAGCAUCCCAGACAAGCGUUUGCCCAGCCGCUGCAUAAAGAUUGCCAGUGAGGGGGAGAUCACCACGCCCCUAGGCAGCUGGUUCCACCGUUACAGAACCCUGACUGUAAAAAAAUGUUUCCUAAUAUCCAGC